rnacentral:rRNA from 1 species
GACCCCGCACAAGCGGUGGAUUAUGUUGUUUAAUUCGACGCAACGCGAAGAACCUUACCAGGCCUUGACAUACUCGGCAAAGCUCUAGAGAUAGAGUGGAGGUUAUCCGGGAUACAGGUGGUGCAUGGUUGUCGUCAGCUCGUGUCGUGAGAUGUUGGGUUAAGUCCCGCAACGAGCGCAACCCUUGUCUUUAGUUACCAUCAUUAAGUUGGGGACUCUAGAGAGACUGCCGGUGAUAAACCGGAGGAAGGUGGGGAUGACGUCAAAUCAUCAUGCCCCUUAUGGCCUGGGCUACAAACGUAAUACAAUGGCGUAUACAAAGGGAUGCGAAAGGGCGACCUGGAGCAAAACUCACAAAGUACGUCUCAGUUCAGAUUGGAGUCUGCAACUCGACUCCAUGAAGGCGGAAUCGCUAGUAAUCGCGGAUCAGCAUGCCGCGGUGAAUACGUUCUCGGGGUUU